rnacentral:lncRNA from 1 species
AAUUAGAUGUGAUAUGCUCGAAAAGCUUAUCUUUUGCGUACAAUAUGAGGAAAAUGCCUUGUUUAUGUAUCACACAAAAGUGCAUUAACAUAAAUACAAUAGUAAGAAGUUGCAAUAUAAAAGCAUGAACUAUAAAAUUGAGUUGAAGUGAAUUGUCCCACACUAGAACUUCUACCAAUAAUUCCACCAAAGGUUAAGCUAUUGCAAGAAUAGCUUCAUGCAAACAUGUCAUGAUCUUCACCGUUCAAUAAUCAAUUUGGACUUGAGGUAAGGAAUAACUAGUUACGCCAAAAGAUACGAGGAAACUUGUGUGGUAUUAUUAUAUAAUGGCACAAUUCUUUAUAAUGUUCUUUGUUUCUUCUAUUAUUUGUUCUCCUUUCCAGACGUAGAGCCAAUAUUUUGAGUGCUUAAUAAGCAUUUGAGAAGAAUAUAUUGUUAUCAAUGUGUAAGUUAUAUGGUUAAAGGAGAAAUUGUUUAAAUGAAAAAUAUUGAAGGAAAGGAAGGAAAGAGAAGGAACAGUACACAGUGAAAGCAUUAUAAUUUUUAUAUUUGAAUGUACAAGAAAGGAAAGAUAAUGUUGAAUAAAUAAUAUAUAGGAUAUUGCUAUGCGUACACCUUAUGGUGUACACAAUGGCCUACACCCAUUUCACAUGGAGGGGGGCUCACAAAUAUUUUAUUGUAUGUUGGGUCCCCUCCAUGUGAGGGGGGUGUAAUGCAAUGCGUACACCAUUGUAUGCACAUAACAUUGUUCUAAUAUAUAUUACAUUUAACGCAUGUUUGAUGAUGUGGACAUGACAGUAUUAAGAAAAGAUCAGAAUAACAAAAAUCUUAUAUAUUAUAUUGUCCAAAACUUUAUUUCUAACAUGCUUUUAUGGUGCAUUAACUAACCUCUAUUCUCAUUAGAUUUCAAUAUAUCUAUUUUAGUCUUUGUUUUAUAAUACCCUUUGAGCAAGUAUAAAGGCAUAAAACGAACACCCUUUGAGCAAAGGUUCCACAUUUACCGCUUGGUGCAGAGAGGGUGAGACCUUCUUUAAACUUUCAUUUGAUGAUGCACAGAUAGAGGGGUGAAGUUAAUAAUGGAACCAUUUCCUUGACAAAGGAAUAUAUAGCAUGAAAUGAUUAGAAAAUUGUACUUAUGUAAUGAUUUGAUGUGUUUAUCACUUCAUUUUUAAGUAUAACAUUAAUUGCUUCUUCCUUCUUUUGUUUGGUUUUUACUUAGGAAUGAGAGUUCGGGGUUCAAAAUUCAUUGCGAACCAUGAUCAAGAGUAAUCAAAAAAUGAAUGCUAAUACAUCACGACCAUAGAGCUAGAGCUUUUAUCUUCAGGUUCAUUAUGUCAUAUUCAACAACAAUAACGACCACAAACUAGUCAUGUUCCUAAUUAAUUUGGAGCUACAUGAAUUCUUUUUUCAGCCCCGUUUGGUUCAUAUCAUUAGAUUUGAUAAAGUUCUAUGCUGGUUGUUAACUUUCCACAAUCCUCCUCCUUUGCUUGGGCUUGGGAUCGGCUUUGAAUAACAUAGGCAGAGUUAGUUCAUUUAUAACAUAUUCAUUUUUUAAAUGGUCAUUGUUGAUGGAAGCAUGUUUGUCACUAGGCUAAUUAAGAAGUAGCAGCUUUGACUAUAACGACAUCUAUAUUUUGAUCCGUUGUUUCAUAAAAAGUAUUAGAUGCAUUACGAAGCAUUGUAAGAUUUCUCAUUCCAAGUUUAUUAGGUAUAAUCUUAGUUUUUUCGGUUAUUGUUUGAAUGCUUUUCCAUUU